CAGUCGCCGCGGUAAUACGUAGGGUGCAAGCGUUAAUCGGAAUUACUGGGCGUAAAGCGUGCGCAGGCGGUUUGUUAAGACAGAUGUGAAAUCCCCGGGCUCAACCUGGGAACUGCAUUUGUGACUGGCAAGCUAGAGUGUGGCAGAGGGAGGUGGAAUUCCACGUGUAGCAGUGAAAUGCGUAGAUAUGUGGAGGAACACCGAUGGCGAAGGCAGCCUCCUGGGAUAAUACUGACGCUCAUGCACGAAAGCGUGGGGAGCAAACAGGAUUAGAUACCCCGGUAGUCCCUGUCUCUUAUAC
rnacentral:rRNA from 1 species